UAGAAUGGGGUGUAUGGGUAGCACGGAGAAUUUUGGAUUCUUAGGUGUAGGUUCAAUUCCUAUCAUUCUAG
rnacentral:tRNA from 1 species